rnacentral:rRNA from 1 species
AGUGAACGCUGGCGGUAGGCCUAACACAUGCAAGUCGAACGGCAGCACAGUAAGAGCUUGCUCUUACGGGUGGCGAGUGGCGGACGGGUGAGGAAUACAUCGGAAUCUACUUUUUCGUGGGGGAUAACGUAGGGAAACUUACGCUAAUACCGCAUACGACCUACGGGUGAAAGCAGGGGAUCUUCGGACCUUGCGCGAUUGAAUGAGCCGAUGUCGGAUUAGCUAGUUGGCGGGGUAAAGGCCCACCAAGGCGACGAUCCGUAGCUGGUCUGAGAGGAUGAUCAGCCACACUGGAAGUGAGACACGGUCCAGACUCCUACGGGAGGCAGCAGUGGGGAAUAUUGGACAAUGGGCGCAAGCCUGAUCCAGCCAUACCGCGUGGGUGAAGAAGGCGUUCGGGUUGUAAAGCCCUUUUGUUGGGAAAGAAAAGCAGCAGGUUAAUACCCCGCUGUUCUGACGGUACCCAAAGAAUAAGCACCGGCUAACUUCGUG